CGGAACUCCAGAGCCUGAGUGAAGACCUCAGUCACCCCAGAGCUGUUAAUAGUUUUUAGCCGCUGGAAGCGGGCGGAGUCACCUGAGGCUGAAGGGGUUGAGUGGCCUGAACCACUCUGUUCGGCUCCUGGACCACCUUUGAAGAAAUUCUUCCCGUAAGAGAAGAGGACUACAUAACAUGUGUGAAGAUAAUCCAGAAAUGGUCUCUUCUAUGUGUGUUCCUGCCUCUGAAGACUUUCCAGUGGGACCGAUAGAGGUGGAAACCAGUGAUAGUGAUGAACCUGGCCAUACACUCUUGAGGGUUUCCAGCAUCACUUUUCUGUAGAGAUUCUUCUUGAAAGGAUCAAGCAAAGACCACUCCUCCUGAGUGAUGUUCAAAGCCAGAUCCUCAAAGGCCACUGACACCUAACACACUCCGCUUCCCGACUCCUGUAGUUCUCCUGGCAUCCUCCCUACAGCUCCUGCAGCCAAUGGAAGUCACAGUGCCACUAAGGGUGAUGACGGCUCCGUGAGGGUGGAGAUUAUACAAGACUGAUGAAGACAUCAACUUAUUGCCAUAAUUUUGGGUUGGAGAAUUUUCUUUCAUGUCACAUCUAGCUAUCAGAAUUAACUUCUCAAGACACUCAUGUGGCCUGUCAUUUCAAAUUCCUCUUGGGACUGGGCUUCCUUUAAAAAUCGCUGGGGAUGGGGUAGGGAUUUAGCUCAGUGGCGCUGGUGCCUGCCUUGCAAUCACAAGGUCCUGA